rnacentral:lncRNA from 1 species
GGUCGGUCCACUCCCUAAUUAAGAUUUCUUUUAAAAACUACCAAAGUGGAAGUAAAUUUCCAAAAAUAUUAUAAAAUCAGUUUCGUCUACCCCAAUCCAGAAAGAUGUUACAUGUGAGCAGAAAGCGUUCCAACAAUAACAAGAUUACAGUGGCUUUGGUGUCAGUUUCUGGAAUGAGUUGCGCCACCUCGCGGCCGUUCCCUCCAAUAUCACCCCUUAUAUCUUCAACAAGGAUAAUGAUCAAUACGAUCCUAAAAUUGCGUCAACGGUGCUACAAGGUUCGGCAACAAGAGUUCGGCUUCCUGACGCUUGGUGGCGCUUGACGAUGUUUUGCUUCCACAUUACUACUUAUCACGCACUCUUCCACCACCAUCCCCCCUCUAGUUGUGUGCUAAGCUACCGCUGUUCCCCUCUGCUUAAUGCAAUAAUAGGCGUGGUGAAGAAUUGCAAAUUUUUUCAGGGGUUUCCUCCGGUAAGGCGGAGUUUGAAAAAAUGUGCAGCGCAUUAUGGAGGUAGUCGACGACGCCGGGCGGAGCAGUUACAGAUGCGCAUGCCGGAAAUUGUUCGGCGUCGCGAUGGAAGGGAAAAACGAUGCAUCGCGACAAAAGUGACGAUAACGAUAAAUAAGUACGCGAAUAUGAAAACCGCAACACACAAUCAGGGAAACUGCCCAAGUAUUACUUUUUCGUCAUGUGCCUGGCGUUGUUACGUACACAGAAAAUUGUAAAAGUGGUGGAAAUAACGGCCACAUGGCCCUGAAGACCGCUUUGUGGCCGAUUGAAUACCUUACGUUGGAAAGAGUUAUAAGUGGGCUACCUGCGUGAAAGAAAGUAUUUGUAAUAUAUUCCAUAAGACAUCCACGCAGGUUCUUUUCUAAAAUUUUGUAGGUAGUAGCCAGUGAUGCCGAAUCCCCUCCCGCUCACUUCUUGAUCCCCACCAAUUUCUUGAAUCGCUGACACGCAAGUCUGUGGCUAGCGACGCCGCGCCGUAACACAACUCAAGACAUCAGUCGAAAUUCCAACGUUAUAGUGUGGGCUGAACCGCGCAACUUGCAGCACAUGCGACACUAGUGGUUACUGCAAUUGACUAGUGGAUCUGUUUGUGUUUUUUUCGUCAGUGAGUUAGUUGUGCUUCAGUCAGAUGGACUCAAUCAUUAAGUACUCUUGGAUUUUUCCUUCAAGAGCCAUAAACAUUUUAAGUGAUUCGUUAUAACUGACGCUCUAUUAUAGACAUUGUAUCGUCUAUUUUGUGAUGUGAAGUGAAUACGAGUCUUCAUCCGCAAUGUGUUCUCCAAAUCACUCGUGACAACAUAAAUUCAAAAUCAAAAAAUCAGGUAAUGUUUGUUGGACCUGCAACAUAUUCUGUUGUAUGACUUCGUUAAGCGCACCUAAAAGCUCAUUCAUCUCUUCAUGUCACCUGUAGGGUAAUAGAUCGGCGUAAGAAUCCUUUUACUUUCACAAACUCGAAUCUCACCCAUUAGAUUGAGACAAAUCCUUUAUACAAGGUAACGCUCUUAACGGGAAUCGUCCCUUGGUGGGCAGGCAUCCAAGUGGAUAUGUAAUGUGUUCGGCCAUGUGUCGGUCACGAAUGCUAGGGUGCGGUCAGAGAUCGGUUUAAAUUUCAGCUUAGACGCUGCCACAUCAUCCUGUCGGGCGGUGCACGAACCAGAUUUUUUAGCCGAAGCAGGUUUCGACCAACGAUUCUAACCAGUUCCGAAAAUGGAAUUAAAAUUAUUUUUCUGCUGCUCUUUCUUGGCUGACGGAGUUUUUUCGGCGGUCUGAACCUGCCGCGCGGCAGCAACGACAAAGCAGCAGCAGCAGCUUUCCUUUCCGGUUGAGAAUCGAAGACCAAGUUCUGUUCUAAAUUUGGACCUGUUCUUUUAUUCACCCACUUACGUAUUAUACCGUUUCUUUAGAGCCGUUUUAUCAGCAUCUGAAUCUUCUCGAAUGUCAGUACUGUCUUUCAAGGCGAGACGGUUUCUUCUUUUUGACUUCUACCUGCUAUUAUCAAAAAUUCGACAUAAUGUUUUUGAAAGUUGAAAAACUGUUUUUCAACGUUGUUCCAUGAAUUUAAACCCUACACCAAACACUAUAUCCCAAAUUAGCAGUUUCAAGAAAUGCUCAUUUCUAUCAAUCAUGUCCAGGAGUGAGAAGUAACUACUGACUUCUGGACGUUCACCUAUUGCUCAUAGACUUUUGAAAAUUCGUUCGUCUUAAAACUAAGACCUUUGUGUGAAAAGUGGCUAAUUGAAGGAGUGGAGUUGAAGCAUUUUCUGUUAGUGAUGUUUGCGAACUCCACGAGAGACGGAAUCGUAAGUUAACAAUCAGUAUUAUUAAAAUAAACGCUGCAUUAUUGUUCGCCCGACCAAAGGUAUCAUAAUUCAGUGUAUUAAGAGGUCCCCUUUCAUCAUCAUUUUUUAAACAUCAUUCCACUAUACCUGGCAUGAAAGGGUUUGGCUUUUUGCAUAGUUCAGUACACUUUACUUUGUGUGCACAAUUCGGUCAUAUGCAUAAUGUCCCGCUGGCUUUUAAGACCCAGGAGAUGAAUAAUUUCCUUAGUUGAACCCAGGUUCCCAUAGAACGCUACCUGCGGCGUUAUCCGCGUCCAAACAGUCCUUUUGAAAUCUUUAUGUAUGUAAAUGUUUCCUCUCUGACACGACUUUUACGACAUAAGGAGAUUAUUUAUGAAGUUAUUUACCGAAGGACGAGCGGAGCUACAUUUAGAAUUGUCGACUCUCCUCGUGCCAGGCGAUAAAUACACGUGUACCUUUUAGUGUAAACCUAUUUUGGUGAGUUACUAAAACAAAAGUGUGUUUAUGCUAUUAAUGUACAUAUUUGAAGAUGUAUUUUUGAAAACUAAAUAAUAUACGUACUCCUUUAUGGUUAUAACUUCUUAUUUUUUAUGUAUCAGUAAUGAAUUCUUCCUUUCAAUUUUGGAUGAGAUAUUCACUCCCAAUGAAGUUAAAUUGAACAAGAAUGACGAAAGGUUUUUCCUUCAGCAGGAAGAAUUCAAAUAAGGAUUCUUUAUGUGGUUUAAGGCUUCUUCCUUACCUUUUGAAUCUGUAACCGCUGCUAAAUCAUUUAAAGAAUCAUAUUUGCUUCAUUUCAAAAAAUAUCCAUGAGUUAGACUUCUAUUGAAGGUAGUGUACUUUUAGAAUUGACUAUGUACCCCUCCUGUUAAAUCUACAUUCACCUUUGUAGCUUUGACUCUAUCAUCUUGAACAUGUUAUAACACAUGAUUCAAUGGGCGAUUGUUAAAAGUUGCUGUAUAUAUUCUUUGUGUGGUGUCUCGCGUAUGAUGCAAGGUCUUAUUGUGAAGCAUCCCCUCAUCUUAGGAUAUUAUAGAAAUCUACCUGUGAAAUGUCAUUGUUAUUGCUGAAACCGAUCCUUCGGUAUUGAUAUUUGGCUCAUAGUCAUCGAGCCAGGUAAUAGAGUCCAAAGAAUGACAGCGCACCUGCACCUGUCGCAACUAAUAGUAUUAUUUAACUUAAUAACCGUGUCUCUAUAAUGCCUAUUAUUACGGGUUUAGAUUUAAAAGAUAGACUACUUUGUAAGUGUCUUUCAUUCACAGACUUGCUAUUAAAAAAUGCCUCUAACGAUUGAUAUAAAUUCCUUAAAAAGUUCCAGUCUUCGCAGCAGGAAAAUAACAUUUUUAGGUACCAUUCAAUAUAAAAUGAUAAUUAUUUGAUAAAAUUCCGUUAUGUGCACGUACGACGAUGUUCUAUUGUCCUUUGGAAACGUUACUUAGCAAAAAUUUUCCCAUAGUAAAAUGAUCACCCGUCGGAAUGGAUCUAAAUGUAUGCAUCGAGCCGGCUGAAGAGAAUAAGGAUGAAAAAUUACUUUUAACCCUUUCCGAAAAGGGUUCAUACAGUAGUGAAUGUGUAUGCAUAAAAACGCAUCGUUUGCAUAUUUUUCUUUAAAACGGGCCUACCCCUCGCUCUUUCUCACAUUUAAUACUGUGUGCCAUGUAAGCCAGGUCUAAAACACCUUUAUGCAAAAAUGCUUCUGAUCUUAUCCCAUACUUUGGCACAAAGAGGAAUAACGUUACAUACCAACAGAUAUUUUGAUAAAUAGUUUGCACAGUGAAAUGGAGAGGUGUGAAUUCUGCUUAAAAAUAAUUUACUAUAAGAAGAAUAGAAAACGUAGUUAAUGUUUUUUAUCGGGUUCAAAAAUGUUUUUAAAAAUCAGUGAAAACUGGGUUUAUGUUUAGUGCGCCGCGGUCAAGUGAUUAUGUAAGUGACCGGCGAAAUGCGCGAGGACAGUUAAUUUGCUUUGGUCCAGUUCCUGCCUACGAGUGUUUUGGUGUUUUUAUUGUAUAACCAAUAAACGCCAGUUUGAUGGAUUACAUCAGGUUAUGAUUGUCUAAAUGUAGUUUAUUUUUGCUCUUUUUACUAAAAAUAUACCUUCACU